rnacentral:ncRNA from 2 species
GGCCGUGUGCACGGGAGCCCGGUGAGCCGGGCUGAGAGGGAGUACUCCGACUCCGACCGUAGAACCUGAUCCGGAUCAUGCCGGCGCAGGGAGUCUCCGCAGGGCGAGA